UUAGAAGCCAAAGCCAACAGCAAUACAGUACUCCAGGUGCCUCGGCAGCCCCAGCAGCUCUAGGACCUCCAAAAUCGCCCUAGGGCUGAGCAUCGGAAUAUCUCCCCACAUCGAGAGGACUAUCCAGUGGAAAAUAGAGAGGAACAUGAUGGGUGUGAACAGAUUGUAAAAUAUGACAAAUAAAAAAUGAUGAAGGAAAAAGUGCAUAGGUUGACAUCAAAGAUGUUCAACAGCUGUGCAACCCAAAGGACAUCCCAACAAAAGCUUUUCCAUGAAAGACAUGCUGGUUCUGUGCUUGGCAGGUGGGACAGGCUACACACAAUUUAGAGUUUAUGUAGCACUCAGGACAAUUCUGCAAUCACAAGAUUUUGUAUUUGACACCUCUGGACCAGAUGACUCUAAGCUCCCCUCCAGCUGGAAAUCUGUGAUCAAGUCCCUGUGGCAGAAAGAGAUGGAUAAUGUAUAGGUGUCUAAAUUAUUUACA
rnacentral:lncRNA from 1 species